GCAAGUCGAACGAGAAAGGGAUUGCUUGCAAUCCUGAGUAGAGUGGCGCACGGGUGAGUAACACGUAGAUAAUCUACCUUCAAGCCCGGGAUAACUAUUCGAAAGGAUGGCUAAUACCGGAUGAAGUGGGUACACACAAGUGUAUUCAUGAAAGAUUGCCUCUUCAUGAAAGCAAUUGUUUGGAGAUGAGUUUGCGGACCAUUAGUUUGUUGGUGGGGUAAAGGCCUACCAAGACUGCGAUCUAUAGCUGGUUUGAGAGGAUGAUC
rnacentral:rRNA from 1 species